CAGUAUCUUCAGGGCGGGGCGAAAUUCCCCACCGGCGGUAAAGGAAGCUUUGAUUCAAGACUUCCCAAGUCCGCGAGCGCGUCAGCGUUGAAUCGGUGAAACUCCGAUACCGACAGUACAGUCUGGAUGGAAGAAGAUACGC
rfam:Firmicutes bacterium CAG:110 genomic scaffold, scf182